rnacentral:rRNA from 1 species
UACGGGGGGGGCAAGCGUUGUUCGGAAUUACUGGGCGUAAAGGGCGCGUAGGCGGCCCGCUAAGUCGAACGUGAAAUCCCCGAGCUCAACUCGGGAACUGCGUCCGAUACUGGCGGGCUUGAAUCCGGGAGAGGGAUGCGGAAUUCCAGGUGUAGCGGUGAAAUGCGUAGAUAUCUGGGAGGAACACCGGUGGCGAAGGCGGCAUCCUGGACCGGCAUUGACGCUGAGGCGCGAAAGCUAGGGGAGCAAACAGG